AGAUUAAGUUAUUAAGGGCGCACGGUGGAUGCCUUGGCACUAGAAGCCGAUGAAGGACGUUACUAACGACGAUAUGCUUUGGGGAGCUGUAAGUAAGCUUUGAUCCAGAGAUUUCCGAAUGGGGAAACCCAGCAUGAGUUAUGUCAUGUUAUCGAUAUGUGAAUACAUAGCAUAUCAGAAGGCACACCCGGAGAACUGAAACAUCUUAGUACCCGGAGGAAGAGAAAGAAAAUUCGAUUCCCUUAGUAGCGGCGAGCGAAACGGGAAGAGCCCAAACCAACAAGCUUGCUUGUUGGGGUUGUAGGACACUCUAUACGGAGUUACAAAGGACGACAUUAGACGAAUCAUCUGGAAAGAUGAAUCAAAGAAGGUAAUAAUCCUGUAGUCGAAAAUGUUGUCUCUCUUGAGUGGAUCCUGAGUACGACGGAGCACGUGAAAUUCCGUCGGAAUCUGGGAGGACCAUCUCCUAAGGCUAAAUACUCUCUAGUGACCGAUAGUGAACCAGUACCGUGAGGGAAAGGUGAAAAGCACCCCGGAAGGGGAGUGAAAUAGAACCUGAAACCGUGUGCUUACAAGUAGUCAGAGCCCGUUAAUGGGUGAUGGCGUGCCUUUUGUAGAAUGAACCGGCGAGUUACGAUUUGAUGCAAGGUUAAGCAGUAAAUGUGGAGCCGUAGCGAAAGCGAGUCUGAAUAGGGCGUUUAGUAUUUGGUCGUAGACCCGAAACCAGGUGAUCUACCCUUGGUCAGGUUGAAGUUCAGGUAACACUGAAUGGAGGACCGAACCGACUUACGUUGAAAAGUGAGCGGAUGAACUGAGGGUAGCGGAGAAAUUCCAAUCGAACCUGGAGAUAGCUGGUUCUCUCCGAAAUAGCUUUAGGGCUAGCCUCAAGUGAUGAUUAUUGGAGGUAGAGCACUGUUUGGACGAGGGGCCCCUCUCGGGUUACCGAAUUCAGACAAACUCCGAAUGCCAAUUAAUUUAACUUGGGAGUCAGAACAUGGGUGAUAAGGUCCGUGUUCGAAAGGGAAACAGCCCAGACCACCAGCUAAGGUCCCAAAAUAUAUGUUAAGUGGAAAAGGAUGUGGCGUUGCCCAGACAACUAGGAUGUUGGCUUAGAAGCAGCCAUCAUUUAAAGAGUGCGUAAUAGCUCACUAGUCGAGUGACACUGCGCCGAAAAUGUACCGGGGCUAAACAUAUUACCGAAGCUGUGGAUUGUCCUUUGGACAAUGGUAGGAGAGCGUUCUAAGGGCGUUGAAGCAUGAUCGUAAGGACAUGUGGAGCGCUUAGAAGUGAGAAUGCCGGUGUGAGUAGCGAAAGACGGGUGAGAAUCCCGUCCACCGAUUGACUAAGGUUUCCAGAGGAAGGCUCGUCCGCUCUGGGUUAGUCGGGUCCUAAGCUGAGGCCGACAGGCGUAGGCGAUGGAUAACAGGUUGAUAUUCCUGUACCACCUAUAAUCGUUUUAAUCGAUGGGGGGACGCAGUAGGAUAGGCGAAGCGUGCGAUUGGAUUGCACGUCUAAGCAGUAAGGCUGAGUAUUAGGCAAAUCCGGUACUCGUUAAGGCUGAGCUGUGAUGGGGAGAAGACAUUGUGUCUUCGAGUCGUUGAUUUCACACUGCCGAGAAAAGCCUCUAGAUAGAAAAUAGGUGCCCGUACCGCAAACCGACACAGGUAGUCAAGAUGAGAAUUCUAAGGUGAGCGAGCGAACUCUCGUUAAGGAACUCGGCAAAAUGACCCCGUAACUUCGGGAGAAGGGGUGCUCUUUAGGGUUAACGCCCAGAAGAGCCGCAGUGAAUAGGCCCAAGCGACUGUUUAUCAAAAACACAGGUCUCUGCUAAACCGUAAGGUGAUGUAUAGGGGCUGACGCCUGCCCGGUGCUGGAAGGUUAAGAGGAGUGGUUAGCUUCUGCGAAGCUACGAAUCGAAGCCCCAGUAAACGGCGGCCGUAACUAUAACGGUCCUAAGGUAGCGAAAUUCCUUGUCGGGUAAGUUCCGACCCGCACGAAAGGCGUAACGAUUUGGGCACUGUCUCAACGAGAGACUCGGUGAAAUCAUAGUACCUGUGAAGAUGCAGGUUACCCGCGACAGGACGGAAAGACCCCGUGGAGCUUUACUGUAGCCUGAUAUUGAAAUUCGGCACAGCUUGUACAGGAUAGGUAGGAGCCUUUGAAACGUGAGCGUUAGCUUACGUGGAGGCGCUGGUGGGAUACUACCCUAGCUGUGUUGGCUUUCUAACCCGCACCACUUAUCGUGGUGGGAGACAGUGUCAGGCGGGCAGUUUGACUGGGGCGGUCGCCUCCUAAAAGGUAACGGAGGCGCUCAAAGGUUCCCUCAGAAUGGUUGGAAAUCAUUCAUAGAGUGUAAAGGCAUAAGGGAGCUUGACUGCGAGACCUACAAGUCGAGCAGGGUCGAAAGACGGACUUAGUGAUCCGGUGGUUCCGCAUGGAAGGGCCAUCGCUCAACGGAUAAAAGCUACCCCGGGGAUAACAGGCUUAUCUCCCCCAAGAGUUCACAUCGACGGGGAGGUUUGGCACCUCGAUGUCGGCUCAUCGCAUCCUGGGGCUGUAGUCGGUCCCAAGGGUUGGGCUGUUCGCCCAUUAAAGCGGUACGCGAGCUGGGUUCAGAACGUCGUGAGACAGUUCGGUCCCUAUCCGUCGUGGGCGUAGGAAAUUUGAGAGGAGCUGUCCUUAGUACGAGAGGACCGGGAUGGACAUACCUCUGGUGUACCAGUUGUCGUGCCAACGGCAUAGCUGGGUAGCUAUGUGUGGACGGGAUAAGUGCUGAAAGCAUCUAAGCAUGAAGCCCCCCUCAAGAUGAGAUUUCCCAACUUCGGUUAUAAGAUCCCUCAAAGAUGAUGAGGUUAAUAGGUUCGAGGUGGAAGCAUGGUGACAUGUGGAGCUGACGAAUACUAAUCGAUCGAAGACUUAAUCAAAUU
rnacentral:rRNA from 1 species